AUGUAAGGUCUUGCUGAUUUUAAUUAUAAGGGAAAAAAACAGAAGAGUUAGGUUCUGACAACUAUUAGUCAGAAUCGAUCACCCAGCUUUUUUGGUACUUCCCUAUCGUAGGUCCUCGAUACUGCAGAGCAGAGAAGAGCAUCACCUGUUCAAGAAGGAUGGAUCAUCAAGGGCAUAACCAGAACCCAUCCAUGGGGGUUGUCAGCAGUGGAGCUCAACUGCCUUAUGCUUCAAACCCAUACCAGCCGACCCAAAUAACUGCAACACCAGGAUCCACCGCUGCAUCAGUCGGGACCGUUCAAUACAGUGGUCAGCCUGCCGGAGCUCAACUGGGACAACACCAAAUUGCUUAUCAGCACAUUCACCAGCAACAGCAGCAGCAACUUCAGCAGCAACUCCAAACCUUUUGGACAAAUCAGUACCAAGAAAUUGAGAAGGCUACUGAUUUCAAGAAUCACAGCCUUCCCUUGGCCAGGAUCAAGAAGAUAAUGAAAGCUGAUGAGGAUGUUCGGAUGAUAUCAGCUGAGGCGCCAGUCAUAUUUGCAAGGGCAUGUGAGAUGUUUAUACUAGAGCUGACCUUGCGUUCUUGGAAUCACACUGAGGAGAACAAAAGGAGAACGCUUCAGAAGAACGAUAUUGCAGCAGCAAUCACAAGGACUGAUAUCUUUGAUUUCUUGGUUGACAUCGUGCCCCGUGAGGAUUUGAAAGAUGAAGUGCUUGCAUCAAUCCCUAGAGGGACAAUGCCGGUUGCAGGGCAUGCUGAUGCACUUCCGUAUUGUUAUAUGCCACCUCAGCAUGCACCGCAAGUAGGCACUGCUGGUGUCAUAAUGGGGAAGCCUGUGAUGGACCCCACCAUGUAUGCCCAACAGUCCCAUCCUUACAUGGCACACCAAAUGUGGCCACAGCCUCAAGAGCAACGACAAUCAACUCCAGAUAGUUAGAUGCUAGCUGUGGUAUGAUGCAAGUGUCAUGCAACUUCAGGUCAGCUUCAGGCUCUCCCUAGCGAUGAGCUUAGGAUGUCAAAUCGAGGGGGAGGUUGAGAAAGUCCUUGGCGUUCGGUAACUGUAGCUCAUUAGCUUACAAACGAAACAAUCCUUGGUUAUAUGUAGAUAAUGUGCUAGUGGAAUCUUACUUCAUUCUGAUAAAGUUGGUGUUUUAUUGUUGUUUAACUUGCGCUUCCUAAGACGGUGAUAGGUUUACUCACAGCUGUAUAGUAGACUACUAUCUUCUUGGAAUUUAGCUGCUUUUCAAUGGAACGUUAUAUGCAAUCUCAGGAUUCCGCUUUC